rnacentral:snRNA from 1 species
GUCAUCACUUCAGCAGCACAUAUACUAAAAUUUGAAUGAUACAUAGAUUAGCAUGGCCCCUGCGUAAGGAUAACAUGCAAAUUCAAGAAGCAUUCCAUAUUUGU